AUUUUAGUAAACACUUCAGAAGUUUCAGAAGUAAAUUCCCUCUAUUUCCUGCAGGAUUUCCAUUGUUCACUUUUGCUUUGAAGAAGAACUUAUCUUUGUCUUAGAACAUUAGAUUUAUAUGUUAUCUACUGGGUGAUUUUCUUCUUGGGACGUAAGUCACUAGAGAGAAAGUUUUGCUUAGGUUCACUUCUCCCUUAAUGAAGUUCAUACCAGCAAAGUGAAAUCGAAGUCUGAAGAACAGCCUGUGCAGAAAGAAAAUGCUCAGCUUAAGAUCCACAAGAAUCAGGAAGCUGGGACUGAAAGAAUGGGAGCAGGUGGAAGGGGAGAAGCAGCUCUCAGCUGCAGAAGAGAAAUGAAAUUAGCUGCAGAAGAGCUACGGAACUACAAGUGAGUUCAUCUCCUACCAGCAGCUCACACGACACCCAUUGUAUUACUUUGAAACUUUAUACAGUGUUUAGACCCAAGUAGCACACAAAUAUACACAAACAUUCAGGGA
rnacentral:lncRNA from 1 species